rnacentral:rRNA from 1 species
UACGGAGGGUGCAAGCGUUGUCCGGAUUUAUUGGGUUUAAAGGGUGCGUAGGCGGGUCUAUAAGUCUGGUUUGAAAGUCAGCGGCUCAACCGUUGAGGGUGGCUGGAUACUGUAGAUCUUGAAAUUGUUGGAGGCAGCCGGAACGGAUCGUGUAGCGGUGAAAUGCAUAGAUAUGAUCCAGAACACCAAUUGCGUAGGCAGGCUGCUACGACUGAUUUGACGCUGAGGCACGAGAGCAUGGGGAGCAAACAGG